UCUUGGAGCUUUAGCUCACCUCUUUGGUGUUGUUCUCAUCUGAUUAAUCUAGUUCUUGCCAGUUCUUCUUGAACUUCGUGUUAGAUCUCGAGUCUGUAUUUCUAUGUCCGUGACAUGAGGCUUCUCAUAGAGUUGUUGAAUAGUGCAUUUCAUUGUAGCUACAUAUGAAGAAGUGUCUACUUGUGCCUUAAGGUUUUAGAGCUCAAAAAGAAUCGCAAGCAUGUGACUAGUUGAAAUAUCACAAAUUGAAGCUCAGACCAAAUUAAAUAUUUGGAAGUAUAGAAUGAUGAAUUUAAGGUCAUUUUGAAAAUGUACAUUGUAAUAUUGUCUACC
rnacentral:lncRNA from 1 species